rnacentral:rRNA from 1 species
GGGGAAUAUUGCGCAAUGGGGGAAACCCUGACGCAGCAACGCCGCGUGAAUGAUGAAGGCCUUAGGGUUGUAAAGUUCUGUCUUCUGGGACGAUAAUGACGGUACCAGAGGAGGAAGCCACGGCUAACUACGUGCCAGCAGCCGCGGUAAUACGUAGGUGGCAAGCGUUGUCCGGAUUUACUGGGCGUAAAGGAUGCGUAGGCGGAUAUUUAAGUCAGAUGUGAAAUACCCGGGCUCAACUUGGGUGCUGCAUUUGAAACUGGAUAUCUAGAGUGCGGGAGAGGUAAGUGGAAUUCCUAGUGUAGCGGUGAAAUGCGUAGAGAUUAGGAAGAACACCAGUGGCGAAGGCGACUUACUGGACCGUAACUGACGCUGAGGCAUGAAAGCGUGGGGAGCAAAC